rnacentral:rRNA from 1 species
UGGGAAUAUUGCACAAUGGGGGAAACCCUGAUACAGCGACGCCGCGUGAGCGAAGAAGUAUUUCGGUAUGUAAAGCUCUAUCAGCAGGGAAGAAAAAAUGACGGUACCUGAGUAAGAAGCACCGGCUAAAUACGUGCC